UUGAAACUGCAUGAUGAUUUCAUGAGCCUGCCUAUAUCUGAGUUUAAGAAUUGCAGCAGUCUGCCUAAGUAAUCUAUUAGUUUUCACAAGGCAAAACAAUUAGUUCAUGAUUCCUGGUUCUUUCAAAUGGCUUUUAGCAUGUAACCUUUGAAGAAACUGGUAGAAGGCGAAAAUGAUAAGCGGAGUUCAGAUGCAACAUUUUCCGGAGAAUGCUAUUAUAUUGCUCCUGAGUUAUGGACCAUGCAUGGAGACUUCUGAUCAAGUGGUUCAGAAAAAUGAGGGACUUGAAUCUUCAGUUCGUCGACCCAAUGAUUACGGGCUCUCUAUCCUUGGCGGGGAGAUGAAGGGUGAAGAAUUGGUAAUCCAUGGUGAGGAGAUGAAGGGUGAAGAAUUCGAAAUCCAUGAUGAGGAGAUGAAGGGUGAAGAAUUCGUAAUCCAUGGCGAGGAGAUGAAAGGAGGGUCAUGAUGAUGUAUAUAUUGAUGGAAUACCGAUCUUGAAUCUCGGUGAAGAAAUGGCUAAAAGAGGGAUAAAUCCUGGUGGUAAGAUGUCAGCAGCAUCAAAGAAUCACAACUAGCAUCAGUUGAGCAGAGACAAGGCGCUCAUGCAGUUUUUCCCAGAAAUCGAUUCAAAAUACGAAGGAAUCACAUUCUAGAAGAUGCUUUUAAUCAGAUGAGUGCAUUGUCUGAAGAAGAUUUUAAAGGAUUGAUUCGUGUAACAUUUGUCAAUGAAUUUGGAUUGGAGGAGGCUGGUAUUGAUGGUGGUGGAAUUUUCAAAGAUUUAUGGAAAAUAUUACUCGGGAUGCAUUUGAUGUGCAAUAUGGGUUAUUUAAGUUUGCAGUCUGGUAAUGUAGAACCAUAGUAGGCUCUCUACAGGCCAAAAUAAGAUCUGGAGGAAGAGAUUGGU